rnacentral:lncRNA from 1 species
AAAAUGCCUUGUCAUGUAUUCAUCAUUAAGGUAUCAGAGAAUAGUUCAUCCUAAAAAAAAUCCCCUAUGCUUCAUCUAUUCAAUCCUCCCUUCUCUUCAAAUAUUUGCCAACCACCAUUCUGUUUACAGUUUUGCUUUUUAUAGAAUGUCAUAAAAAUAGAAUCAUAUACUAUGUAGUAUGUUUCAGACCAGUUCGAACACCAAUGUUUUUAUAGAGAGGUGAUGGUUAACAGUGUUCACUGGGGUUGAGAGGUAAAUAGGUAGAGAAGAGUGACAGGUAUUAGCAUAGCACAGGCUAGAUCUAGAAGUUUCCAGCAAUAAGAACUGAAAUUACGGAUUGCUAUUUUAGUUCUCAAUGUCAGUGACUCAAGUGUGAGGAGGACUGAAUCACCAGACUCCAGAGAAGGGAAAUCUUACCAUGGAGCAGAGCUCUGGAGAGGGAAAGAUCAAAUCUCAAAGACCCUCAAACCAUCAUCACAUAUGAGCUAAUUAGCAGAACAAUGAGCCAAUACCUUGCAAUAAUUUAGGUCUCAUGGCACAGGAUAAAAUGGCAGUGCUUUUAGAUGUAUUUAAUCUAUUUAUUUGAGCUAAAAUGAAUUGUGAUCAACAGUGAAACAUGCCCAUCUACCUUGGGAAUCACUUACGCCAGCUGUCCAACAUCAUUUAGCUAUGAGGCCCCAAGUGAGGAACAAAUAUGUACAAGGAUUAAGAUUCUGUGCUCACUAGAAGUGACCAUGUGGAGGUAGGUGUCCUAAAAAGCCUCAUCCAGAAGCACAGUACACCUGCACAUACCUGCCCUGCUUUUCUCGGAAUCAGCUAGAAUUCCAUGGCGUGCUGCACAUACUAGGGAGUGUUGGGAAAAAAAACAUACCAAAAAAAACACCGAAAGAGGCAACAAAGAUCUCCACUGAGAUCUUCGCAACAAUUUCUUUUCAUAAAUUUUAGCACAUGAGCUCUUGAAGGGUCGCUAUGGAAAUAGACCAAUCUCUUUGCUGUCUCUAAGGUGAUACCUCCUUGAGCUCUUCCCAACCUCAUUCCCGCUGGCUUCCCAAGUGCACUGGUGGACCUAGUAGCACCUGUCAUGUUGUUUCUUCCAGCUCGACUCAAAGCAGUGUCAGGAUGAGCAGAGGAGCAGACCCACAUGUGCUUCCUACCAUCUGUAGCUCUCAUUCAUUCCCCUAUAGACUACUGAGUAUCAACUGUGCUUUUUCCGAUUUUGGUCACAGAGUCUCAUCACUGGUCAUCAGAGUACUAGCACACCUAACAGUCAUUUCUUAAUCUUUCUCUCAGCUGACCUCCACCUCCUUCUAUUGUGUUUUCUUGGGUUGAGUACCAAAGUUCCUUAGUCUAUAUCAGGGACAGGCAGAUUUGCCAAGAUACAAGGAUAAAGCCUCUUGGAAAGGGGCCGAGAAAAUGAUGUAGCCACUGAAUUUCUACUUCUUUUUAUAACUACUUUUAGUCAUUAUCACUAGAUUAAACACACACACGCGCAUGCACACACACACACACACACACACACACACACGCACAACGAUCCUUAGUUCUGGUUGUUAUUCAUUAUUCUCCCACUUCUUUUCUAAAAAAUCUGCAUUACAAACAACCCUCCAGGAUCUUAUUCCAAUCAACCUAUCUUGAGUCUAACAAUUAAUAUUCCUAAUACAACCACUAUGCCAUUCGAGUUUUAUUUUUAAAGCAACAAAACUGAGGCCAGUCAAUCACAAAUCCUCAUGAAGAAGGAGGCCAGAGAGGUUAACCAGAGGGUGAACUUGGCACUGCAAAGCAAGCCCCCCUCCCCGUGUUUCCCUGUUCACUAAAGCUAGUGGUUUGGGUUAACACAGGAAACACAGUAAACACACAGUAAAUUGUACACACAAAGCAACCAUCAGUAAUUUGCCUGGUGGGGUCGGAUAGCAUGUGGCUGAUAGGUCUCAGGAGAUGGGGAACAAACAGCCAGGAUGGAUUAAGUGAUUGCGAUUGGCUGUGUCCCUACCCUGCAUAUUUCACCGUGGACAGUAAUCAAUUACCAGGGGCCAGUAAUGAUACCAUUCAAAUGCACUUAGCACUUCUGCACCAUCAACCUGAGGGCUGCCGACCUGCCAGUUUGAAAAGGCUUAUGGCUGUGUGAGAAGGGGUGCUGAGGGAGCCACUGUGAAGCCUUUAGGUCGGGGAAAGCGGCGNNNNNNNNNNNNNNNNNNNGUUAAAAAGAUGAUAAAUUAGUCACUCACCUGCCCUACAUUAAGGUUUCUUUUACAACAAGCAUUAUUCUCCUGCUCCCUCCGUCUCCCCAGGGGAUGGCUGUUUAUAAAUAUUUGGGCAUCAUCUGAGGUAUCGUGGUCAGCAGUUUCACGGGAACAAAACAGCCUCGAAGAAAAUACCCCAACAGGAGCUGAGCUGUGGUGAGGCCGGAAAAACAGCUCAACUCUUGCUUUUGCAUCCUGCCAGUCACCACAGUGCUCUGUGGCCACCAUGUCACUCCCUGUCUGUUUGUUCUGUGGCGCAAACGCUAUGCCUCUUCCGUGUGUGUCCAGAAGCCUCCUCUGUCCUUUCCACUGUCCGUGAGAAGUUGAAAAAGAAGGCAGCCUCUCUGUGGUUCCAUGUCAAAACACGUCAGGUGCAGCUCUUCCUGGGGUGGGCAGCUUCUCUUCUCCCUUCACGGCCAUCAUCAUUUAUAACACAGGCGUUCUCAGGAAGAAACACAAGCGUUGGAAGUUCACGGAGUCUUUUCCAACCCUCGUGGGGCUUCUGACGCUCCGUCCUCUAUUGCCUCUUUUUCCAGUGCCAGUCUUCUAUGAAGAGCGGGCUGUCCCAUGAUUACUACUCUGCUGGACCUUUUGGCUUAAAUAAUGGUAACUAAUCAAAAAGGGUGAGGAGGGUGGGGAAGAGGGAGCCCCAGAAGAGUUGUCCC